GGCCACGCGCGACAUGUAGGGCCGUGACCCCAGCGAUUAAACGGCGGUUACCGUCAGUGUUUGUGGGGAGGUGAAGUCAGAUUUCUGCUGGCUGCCCCGUGUACCGUAAGACCGAGUCCUCCCGCGCAGACAGAUUGACAUAUAUGUGUCAGAAGUGGGAUCCAAAGAAGACACCUGAGAGAAGACAACCCCCGGAACCAAGUGAGGUACCUACACUGAGCCCCUUGUGCUCAUCGCUUCCGUGAGGAGCAAGUGGCAUCUCAGUGUCACCUGGAAUAGAUGAGUCUGCACAGCUUUGUCAUCAUGGUAAAAAGGUGCAACUAUUGCAAAGAUUCCCUAAAUACUGGACGUGCAGAAUCAUGUGGUGGAGAAGCAAGAGCAUGACGCCAGGCACUUCUGAGAAACAAUACUGCAGGAGGAAAAGCUAUAUUGCAUUCACAGGAUCUGCUGAGUUGAUUAAUUUAUCUUUUCUCCGUGCUCUUGGUAGCAGUGUUCACCUCCAGUGCUCUUAGCAGCACAUCCCAAACCUUUGCAGCAUUUGGGUGUGAUCACAUUUUACUGUGAGGACACACGGCAAACAGUGUGUAGAAGCAUUUCUAUGGGCCCUGAAUGGUGUUAGUCAGAGGAGCAGAUGUUUGGGUUUGGAGUUGCGUUGUGUCCUGUUGAGUGAUAAAUCCCCAAUGACAGAGGUACCAUGUGUUCUUUAAUACAUUUACGUCUGUGUGUGUGUGUGUGUGUGUGUGUGUGAUGUAGGUCCUUUGAAAGAGGGGUUCAGGACAGUGGCUCUUUGCCUGGGUCUAAAGGUAGUGCUAGUUGUUGGGAGUGCUUUUAGAAUUUUAUUUAUUUAUUUACUUACCUAUUCUAAAGAAUGUAUUAAACUUGGGCCCUCUGAUGAAUCAGAAUGAAAUCACACUUAUCAAAGCUUUUCCAUGAGUUUAUCCUCUGAUGAUCCUCCAAUGAUGAACCCAUACCACAACACCUGAAGUUGCAGAAAGCAGGGUCAUUUUUAAAGUCCUUCCAGGGCAACAAGGGCCGUUAUUCCAGAGUCAUCUUUUAGGAAAUAACAUCUUCACUGAGUGUCAGAGGUUUAUACACCUGGAUGAGGUCAGUUUUGCAAAGUCUUUCCCUCAAGAUUAACGAGGAGGCAGCUGAUUAUGGGCACUGCCUAUGACAUAUGGCUACCACUUAAAUGCCUUAUUCACGGGCACUUGUGGUCGCCACAGAAUGCUUUUUAUCUCCUUCAAAGCUGUGUUUUUUAACACGUAGUCUAGGAACCACCUUCAGCAGUGGCACUUGUUAAAAAUGCAGGUUCCAGAUCCUGACUGUAGAAGCUCAAAGUCAGGUUUUAUGGGCUUAGGACCUACGGUGAUGCUGACACAGAUGCUUCUCAAACCAUACUUUGAGAAAAACUGGCCUAGAACAAUGAUCCUUAAGCUUUUUUUUAUUAUACAGCUUUAUCAGUAAAAAUAUUUUGGGCAAGUGACUCUAAUAUAUAAUCAUUUAUUUGUAAGUGGUAUAUGUGUAUUAUUCCACUAAUAUAUCAUGUAAAUUGUAAAACACACAGCAACACAGUUUUUUAAAAGGCAAAGAGGAAACAAUAUUUUAAUAGAAUUUUGUUUCAUCUCUCAAUGAAACAAAAAUAUUUUUUGCUCCUACUAAAAUAUCAUUGUUAAUAAAUAAGUAAUAUUAGUACCAACAAGGCUAUUUUUAGUGAAAGCAAUGUAAUUUAAAUUGCUUCAUACUUUUAAAAAAUCUUGAUUAAAUAAUGAUUUAAAGAUUGGCACUCAAGUUCAGGUUAAUUAGAGACUUGUUUCUAAUGUCAUCUCUGAAAGAUAUACUUCAGGAAAAGACAUAUUCACACAGAAGAGGUGGAUUUCUGACUAUUUGCUACUUGUUUUCAGCCCCAUCCACCAAUUAUACAUUUGGUUGAAAUUAUGCUUGUAACCUUGGUGUCAAUCAGUCCUUGCAAAUUAAUCACAAAGUGUUACAUUUUCAUUUUUAAAAAAUGACUUUAAUAAUUCACUGAAACUCUGAGAGAUUUAAAAACAAAUUUGAAAAUUCUGUUUCCAAGUUUUUAAAGUGUGAUAAACAUUUCAAUAGGCAAUACGGGUCAUUUUCAGGAACAAAAUCACAGAAUGAUGGGAGCGUUUCUAAAUCAUGAGUGUCCUUCGGAAAGCAAUUACUUUCUGAAUCAUUGUUAAAUGUCGUCUUUACCUGAAGGGGGCAGAUGAAGAGUGUUUUAUGCUUUUUGUUUUUAAAUAAGUGUCAGGUAGAUUCCCGUUGAAAGUGACAUCCUCGAGAAGAUGAACAAGUGAUGACAGCUUAAGGUUAAAGUUUAGAAGAUAGAAAAGAAAAUCAUGAGACAGCCAAGAAAAGGGAAAAGGCUAGAUAAUGAGAGGCCUGUAUUUUAUGCCCACUGCUUUCAUUUUUAUCCUGUAAGAAUGGAGCAAUCCUAAAUGCCAAUCAUGGACAUCACUGAUCUACUGUGGGAGGGGGCACGAGGCCCCUAAGUGACUCUCAGCCCUAAGAGACUGGGUGGAUAGUGGAAUCCUUCACUAUGAGAGAAAAUAAUGACAGUAACAAAUUAUGUUACAGUAAUAAUAACGGUAGCAAUUAUGGUGCUCUUAGGUGCCAGACACUGUUCUAGAGUUUUUGUAUGUAUCAUUUCAUUUAAUAGUCAUACCAAUGUCCUAAGCGCAGUCUGAGUAUCAGCCUUUUACCAUGAAGAAUCUGAGCUCGAGGUCAUACAGCUACUAAGUAAUGGAGGCAGGAGCCCAGCAAGUCUAGGGGAUGGCAAUGACUGCAUAUGUAUAUGUGCCUUGAGAAAGCUAGAAAAUAAGAUCAGCGAAAAUAUGAAAAUAAAAACAGUAUUCCUACUGCUGGAGAUUAUCUUUAUUAUCUUUUUGAUUAUGCUUUCAGGUACUUUAUACAGGUAUGCAUUUCUACUAAAAUGAGAUAAUACUUUGCAAGUAGUUUUGCAUCCAUCCUGAUUUUCUAAGUUAAUGAUCUUUACCUUUAUAAGUCAAAAUUUUUAUCUUAUCUAGUAGUCUUAUCCAUAUUCAGAUUUCCUCAAUAAUCCCCAAAAUACCCUUUAGAGCUAUUCUGCCCAAACUAGAGUCUAGUCCAGCCCACACAUUGAACCUAGCUGCUAUGUCUCUCAGUUCUUUUUUAUUCUAGCACCAUCCCUAAUUUUUUUCCCGUUACGUACUGACUUGUUGAAUAGACCAGACCAAGAAUCCCAACAGAAUGAUUCACCUUCCUAAUUUGUCUGGGUGCCUUCUGGUACUGUCUUAGGACUUUCCCCAUCCCUUUUAUGUUCAUAUGCUGAAAGUUUUGUCUACAAGUUUGCUGGCUUCACGUUAAACAUUUUGGCUAGAAUAUGUCAUGGGUGAUGGUUUGUAUUUUAUUGUGUAUCACAUCCGGAGAGAGAAUAUGUGAUGGCUCCACCAUUUGUGGGGCUAAAUUUGACCACUGGAUUAGGGUGAUGAAAAUCUGAUCCUCCAUGAACAUACACUUAUGUUUUCCUCCUUUGACUUGGAAGAAAUCUUUGUGGUAUUACUCUGGCACUCUGUGAAUGUCAGAUUCCCCAUAAAUCAUGCCCUUAAUGCUUUUAACACUAGUUGACAGUCUUUGCCUGGGUCAAUAAUUUCAUUAGGGAUUGACAAUGAUUAAAAUCUAAUUCAAUCCUUCCUUUUCUCUUAAUAGGUGGCAUGCUUCUGUAAAAUAGUUUUCUCUCAAGUGGGGUUUUGUUUUUUUCUUUUUGGUUACUCUGAAAUAUAGUGUUACUUGAAAGACAGGAUGAAUGCUUAAUUUUCCCAUUAGAUACAUGUUUUCAGAGGAAAGAGCUUACUUAAUAACUGCUUCAAAUGAUGACAUAAGAGUCAGGAAGGGGGCUUACUCUUUUUUGAGUAUCAUUAUCUAGUCAUAGAUUUCAUUGAUUCAAUCAAUGCCUCUACAUCCCUGAUGCGUUUUUGGUCUAAGAAGUUAUACGUUGAAUAAUUCAGCAUCAGUUGUUUUACACUGCGAUGUUAUUUAAAAGAAGAAGAUACAGCCAAUUCUACAACUUUAUAAAUGUUUGGAAAAAAUGAGAUUGACAAGACAGUGAAAAUCCCUGUCAUUACACUUGACGAGCCACUCAGUCCAGAGAACGUCCUCCACCAGUUGUGGUGUAGAGUUCGGUCUUUCAGCCUCACGUGAUUAAAAUGAAUUUACUUUUGGAAAAUGGAUUUCCUCAGACUGAAAAGGAAGCACAAUUUCAAGAACUGUUCACCUAUAGCAUAGUCAAGACAAAAUGUCUCUAUUUUGAGAAUUUUCCUUUAACAAUAAGGAUAUGGAUAUUUUUCUUUCCUUUUUAAGAUGAGUUGAUAAAUAGCUAACUAUUGGCUUAGUUGCAUAGUUCAUUACUUGGCACACACAUUGAAAAGGGCAGUAUAUUUGUUUGGUCAUUAUUUGUGCUCUAAAGUGAGGUCAAACCCAAAAGAAAAUGAUGACGUUAAAUGUGUGUGAGCAGGUAACAUGUAAGCAUGCGUGCGCACAAACUGAAAGAUGUAUUACUAACUUGUAGAGUUACCAACUGUCUUGAUUUUAGUACUGAAAGUCACAUGUCCCCGUAAACCCUCCAGGCCCAGGCGAAAGGGGGUGGUUGCUUACACUAAAAUUGCCAGAUAAGAAGCAGCACGGAAGUCAAGCAACAGAUCUCUCGUGAAUCUUCCUCUUCUUGACUCAGACAUUUAACAAGGCCUUUAAUUCACACGUGAAUUGGUAUGUCAUACUGGCAGGAAAAGGGCUUUUUAAGUAUAUAAGGAUAUAAAUUCUUAAAACUAUUGGGAAUAUACUAAAAGUCUUCUAAAACUGCCAGUUUAAAAUGGCCCAAGAAUCUCACUACCUACUUUUUCUUCAGAAGAGGUGAUAUAGCUGCCAGUAUUUCUGAAUACUUCAGCCAAAGCUUAGAAAAUGGAAGGGUGAAAGGUACAAUGUGCCUGAGUUGAUUUCCACUAUGGGAUUUUAUUUAUACAGACACUAUUCGUUGAAAUGGACCUUGAGGAGUUACAGAAUCUAUCUUUCCACAUCUAGUCAAGACCACAAAUAGACCACAAUGGGAUUCUGCCCAAUAUAUUUUUAAAUAUUCUCAAAGAAGGGGAUAUCCCAUUAUUAAUUUUCUGUCUUACCUAAAACUCUCAUGCUUUAUAUGAAAUUCGUUUUUUUCUGGUUGAUGCUAGAAGUUGUGAAAAGCCGGAAAUCAUUCUUUGACAAAGGUUAGAGAUUAGAUUUCAGUUUCUUUUCAGCAUUUUAAUUCUAGAAACUUUUAAUUUUUCUUCAAAGUUUGUAUUUUCAAACCCUUAGUUACAUUUGUAGCUCUCCUCCAAAUCCCUGAAGCAUAGAUUUGGGUGUAUUAACCAAACAGAGGUGCAAGAGGUUUUUCUUUGGGAGAAAACAAUUUCCACUUUGUAAUACAAGUUUUUAUAUUCUUUAAAUUAUAGUACUCAUGAAACUGACAUAUUUGUCGUGAAAAUAGUAUUAUAUAAUAAUCUAUUGUUGCAGAAUCUUAAUAAAUUGAUGUCUCAAGGAAUAAAACUAUUAGUUUUAUUUAUCAGAGUUUAAGAGACUCUGUAGGAUCUCCAAAUGGCUAUCCAGACAUGGCAUUUUAUUGUUAGGAUUUAUGACUAAAAUUCCAUUCUUCGUCCUCAGGACCAGAGAUGAUCCUAAUUGCAGGUGCUUUCCAGUAAAAAGAAGUGCUUUGAACCCAUAAAAGGGAAAGAACAUGAUCCUGUGAGACAUAUAUUUUAUUUUAGUUCUUUUUCUGGUUUCCAGAUCUGUGACCUGAGUUAUUGCAUUUGGUAGGUAGUUUAGGAAUACAGAAGUAUUUCAUUUAGGUUGUUAGUAUUUUUGAGAUUGAAAGAGAUUUAACAGAAGUUAAAGAGUAUUUGCUACUUGAUGUCGAUGAGAAAGAAGUGAAAAGCAGAAUCCUCAAACUUCAACGGGUAUGCAAAGUCACCCAGGGGAUCUUAUUAAACUCGGUUUCUCAUGGAAUGUGGCCCAAGAAUCUGCAUUCUUACAAGCUCCCAAGUGAUGCUGAUGGUCCAAGGACCACAUUUUGAAUUGCAAGGUUCGAAAUAACUUAGCUAUAGCUUAAUUCAGCCUUUCUCUUCUUAACCUAGAAAAACAAAUAGCAACCAAUGAGAUACUCUCUUUAUGCGGGAGGAGGGACAUGGGUAUGGAUGAGAAAAACUACUUUUAUGGUAUUAUUGGACUAGAGAAAUAUUUGUAGAAACUAGUUGAAAAAACUAUUUCAGUAGCACAGUGACUAGACUGUGGAUAUAAAUCUGAACACAUACACUGGCAGCCUAGCCCAUAAUUGCUGAGUGUUUUUGUUAUAAAUUUUUAAUCCAUACUUUAUAACUAGAUUUAGACUUGUU